CUGAUCAAAAACAACUGUUUCAGGGCUCUGCAAAUCAACCAGAGAAAAACAAGAAAUUGAGAAGUGUUUAUUCAUGAAAAACUGCUAGAAAUUUGGGUCAGAAAAGUGGGAGUCUACAGAGAAUCCAUAGCCUUCUUGCCUGGAACUGUUUCUUCCAUAUACCCCCUCCAAAAACUUGGUCAGUAAAGUAACCUUACCAUGGCAUAACACCCUGUGAAAACCAGCAGCUUCACUGUUAAAAGGGGCUGACUUGAUUUGGACUGGAGAGCCAAAACCCAUGUUGGCAGCAUUAUCAGUAAAAGUAGCAUAUGUGAGAGGAAGUGAAUGGGGAAUUCCCAUAGCUUUGUUAAACUGACGUUAGAGCCCCAGUUAUGGCAAGUGAUAGACUAGCCAAGAACUUUACAAGGAGAUGAUGGAAAUGGGAGAAUCAUAGAAGACCUAGAUAAGCUCUCCAUAUCUCCCUGGCUUAAUGGGAAAAUAUGUUCUUGUUUAUAGGACACCCUGGAAGGUCCAGAGUAAAGUAAAAGCCCAGGGAGACUUGAAAAUGUCCUGAACUUUGAAUGCUUACCUCAAUGUACACACAGAUCUGUUAGCAGAGGGUGAUAACCUUAUAGGUUCAAAGUUCUUGAGCACAAUCUCUUAUGAAUCACUGACUUGCUAGUAAGACAGGGCAAACCAUACGAAGCCAGGCAGAAAAAUAAAAUAAUUAAAACAAAACAAAACAAAACAUCAGAGACAUCAGUGGCUGCACAUUUCAGGGAGACAGAUUCUGCAGAUUAAGUCCAAAUAAAUUACUAAAAAAACCAGCUACUUUUGGGAAAAAAAUAAUUCAGACGUGCUACAAUAUAUGGUUUAAAAUGUCAGUUUUCAAAAAAAAAUCAGGAGAUAUUAAAAGAAACAGGAAAAUGUGACCAAAAGAUCCAUGGAAGCUGACUCUGAGUAGACCCAGAUGUUAUAUUUAAAGACUUCAAAGUGGGGCUUGCAAUAUAUUUAAAAUGUUAAAUGAAAGUAUGAUGACAAUUAUCCUCAAAUAGGAACUCUCAAUAUAGAAACAUAAAAAUAAAAAAGGAUCCAAUGAAAAUUCUAGAAUUUAAAAACACAGUAACCAAAAUUAAAAAACGUAACCAAAUGGGUAGAUUUGAAAUGGCAGAAGAAAGAAUCAGUGAAUUUGAAGAUAGAUCAAUAAGAACUAUCCAAUCUAAGGAAUAGAGAGGAAAAGAGAUUGAAGAAAUAAGAACAGAACCUCAGAGAACCGUGAGGCAAGAUUAAAUACAUUGACAUGUAAUGAGAAUCCCAGAAGGACAAGAAAGGCAGGAAAAAUACUUGAAGAAAUAAUGACUGAAGAUUUCACAAAAUUGAUGUAAAACAUAAAUCUACACACCCAUAAAGCUCAACAAACCUUAAGUAAGGUAACAUAAAAAUCUCCAUCUACACAAAUAGUAAAAUUACUGAACAUCAAGGACAAAUAGAAAAUCUUGAAUCCAGCAAGGAAUAAACAACUCAUCCCAAAUUAGGGAAUAAUAAUCCAAUUAAUGGCUCAAUUUUUAUCUGGAACAAUGGAGACCAGAAGGCAGAGUGAUGAAACAAAAUAGUCAAUCAUUAAUUCUAUCUCCAGUAAACUAUCCUUUAAAAGUUAAGGUAAAACAAAGAUUCAUGUAGUGUUUUUUUAUAUAAGCUUUAUAAGAAAUUCAGUCUUAUCCAAAUCACACUCUUACCAUGUAUAUUUGUUCUUCUUAAAGAAUAAGUGUGUGUGUGUGUAUGUGUGUGGACAUGUAUAAGACUAUGGACCUUCUUUAUUCACAUGUAAAGCUUUAUCUAGAAACCCCUUUAAGCAUUAUGUUGAGGUAAAAAAAGAAAAUGUUCAAAGAUUCUGUAAUGAAUUUAGAUGUGUGUGUGUGUUUAAAGCAUUUGAUAAAGUUUAAAUGUUUUUACACAGAAAUGUUUGUUCACUAAUAUAUUUUGUCUCACUAGUAUCAACACGCAAGAAAAAGAACAUUUCCCAGGUAAACAAAGACUGAGAGGAUUUAUUCUUAGCAAACCAGCCUUCUAAGAAAUAGGAAAUGAAAGAAAAUAACAUCAUAAGGCAAGUCCACAGGAAGAAAUGAAGAACCCUGGAAAAGGUAACUAUGUAGGUCACUUUUGUUCCCUGGACCCAUCCUCUCUUCCUUUGUUUGCCCUGCUUUCCUCUGAAGAUACCGCAUGUGUGCUGACUGCAUAGAUGGCACCUGGGGAAACAAACACAGAAAGCCGCCCAGAAAUAACAUGGUGAAUGAUGGAGUAAGGGGGAGGGAGCAGCGUAAUAGUGCCAGGGAUAUCCAGGGGGAUUUCUCAAUUUCUGAAAGCCUGUAAUAGACGCAUGGCUUUUAAUCCCGAAUUUAGAAACAAACAGGAAAUGUCACCAUGAGGUUCACACCUUCUUGUUAAUAUCUUCUGUUCUCUUGCCUGAUAUUUCCAGCUUCAACAUUGCCCUGGGCGAAGAGAGUGUGAGCAAGAUUUUAAAAUAAUUGUGUAAUCGACCACCUGGCUUUCAUAAUAAUAUCUGGCCCUGGACUCCACAUAAGAUCUCAGGCAACUCUUUUAACCUGGGAGGUAUCUACCCCAUAGGCAAUUAAACGAGGUGUGAGCUGGACUCCCCUGGAAAUGAGCUCUGACUCACUUUUUGGUGACAGUCAUGCAGUCGCAGAGAUGUUGCAGUUUUCAUUGGAUCUGAGAGCUCACUGUGGGGCUUGAUGCUAAAGAAGUGGCUUCGGAUACACACAGCUUAUAAUAACAAUUACUCUUAAAAAUGUUUAAUGCUUGUUAUGUGCCAACCAUAUAGUCUGAUGACAAGGUAAACUUCAUGUGGAAGUUACUCUUAUUAUCAUCUUUAUUUAACUUGAGGAAACCGAGGCUUCCAGAGAUGAAGUAACCUGUCCAAGCUGUGCUGUUACAAAAUUGCUGUGUCACUGGACCCCAGGCUGAGUCUGACCCAAAGCCUGCUCAUUCAAGCUAUCUUCUGCUAAACUGCUCUGUGGAUGUGACAGCAGACAGAGAGCCAUCGUUGUGUCCCAGCCUCCCUGGAUUCCACAGGGAUUGAAAGUCCCUGAGGAAAUGUGACAUGACCUGCAAUGGAGUGUUUUGGACCAGUCAGAAGGUGUGAAGGGCUUCCGGACCUUUGUUGAAAAGGGAAUAGCCUGUCCCCCACACGUCUGAGGUCAUCUUUGCCCUCUUGUCACCUGGAAGCAAGCGGUAAUACUUCUCACCAAGCUUGAAGACAGCAGUGGACAGUCCAGACCCCUGUUGGAGUCACAUCCAGACUCUGCCCCACAGUUUCCACCCUUCGCUCAUUGGAAGGAAGAGGGAGGCCUGGAUCCCGGUCAGAUCUGGGCCGAUAGGAAUUGCGCUGUGGACGCCAAUUUAGAUUUCCUUUCUCCAAAUGGUACAUACUGUGGGCACAGAUAAUCUCUUUGGAAGUUUAGAUCAAAGAAAUAAGGGUCACAGAUAAUCGUUGUUCUUUCAUGUCUGUGAUGAGAACCAUCAGAAUCCCUUUGCCACAGUACUAAUUCCUUCUUCAUAUCUCAGCCAGGUCCCUCCCUGACUUUGGAAUACUUCCUUCUAUUCACUGAAUAUUUGUGGAGCACCUCUCUGUUCCAGUUAAUGGGUUGGGAAUUAGAGGGUGCAGGCAGCAAACAGGACACACAUAGAGUCCAAUGGGCACAGAAGACUUGAACCUCUGACUAGAGGAAAAUAUAGUGUGUUACAGAAGUGGGUGUGCAGAUGGUGAUGAGGAUAGAGCACGGGAUUUAACCUUCCUAGGGGUCAGGGGAAGCAUCCUUGGGGAGAUAACUUAAAACGAAAAUUUGAAGUGCUUGCAGUGUAAGUUCCAUGAGGACAGUCUCCAGAAGAAGCCUGAAAUAGGAAAUGUUCCCUAAAUAUUUGUUUAAGGAAUAACAGAGUUAACAAAAGGAGAUGAUUCUAUGGAGAAUAUUCUAGAUAAAGGGAACUUCACAUCUGAUUGCCAUGUCAUCUGCCCAGCAUAGCAAAAGAAGUCCUCAGGGCUGCACUGGAGAGAGUGAAAGAAGAAGACUAGAAGCCAAAGCUGGACAUGGAGACAGAGAGAGUUUGUGGUGGCCCUUGAACCUGGUAAGGGCUUUGGGCUAGUUUGGGGUUACGAGGAACCAAUAAAAGCUUUGAGGUGCCACAUUGCUCAGACAGGUGCCACACAGGUUAAGGUGGUCCUUCUCAAACUCUCAUAUGCAAUUGAACCACUUGGGCAUCUCGUUAAGAUGCAGGUUGAUUCAAGAGGUGGAAGCUGGGGUUCUGGACCAGCUUGAAGGGGGCUAAUGCUGCUGAUUCCAGGGACUAAAUUUUUGAGUAGCAAAGGUACAAAAUGUGGCAUAAAUGUCGACUUUCUGACCACAUAACAUCUAUACUCCUUCCUGAUAGACGAUUGUAAAAUUCUGCCAUUUAUUUUGGUGCCUAGGAUCAUUACUUCUCAGAACUGGCAUGAUUCUUUAGUCUAAGAUACCUAAUCUAAGGCAUUCCUUUUUCUGCGGAGGAAAUGUAGCCUGUCUCUAGGGAAGUCAUCUGCCUACAGUGACCCAGUUUAAUAGCAGCAGUGGUGGGUCUGGACCCCAGGUUUUCCUGAGUAUCUGCUAAAAAUUCUGUUUGACUAAACUAUCUCCCUUUUCCACAUGGCCUUUCUCCUACUGUGUCCCAUCAGGAUAUGGGUGGAGGCUGGCUGGGCCUAGAAACAGGCGAUCAGCCCAUACCGGAGAGGAUUCUGGACACUAUCCGAAUCCUGGAGGAUUAACUCAGCGCUCUGUGGCCUUGGACCUAGGCCAGCUCAGAAAGUUUCCCAAGCCUGGAUUAGCCACAGCCUGAGAUGUGCUCAUAGUAACUGUAUUAUGGUCUUUCUCUUUUCUGGAUUUUAGUGAGUUCUGGAAGUUUGCCCAUCAGGUGAUAUCCUCCCGGUGCCAAGAGUGAAUGACUGAUGUUCCUAGCUACCAGGGUCGGGCCUAGGAAAACCUGCAGUAGUGGGAGCUCACCUGUAUGGCGUCAAAGUAGGAGGGACUAUAGAAUAUUCCUCCAACUAAAAAUAUCCCUAACUUGCUUAUCAUUGUUGACUACAAUUCCACCAUCAGUUAUUCAUUCUUUAGGUUGAGAAGUACCUCAUAGUCCAUUCCCUUUUAAAAAACCUGAGAAUGUUAACUAUUAAGUCACUACCAGCUUAGUAAAAAUUAGAUCAUCAGCUCUUGUCCAGAUUAGGGAAGGUGACUUGGUUAGAAAGACCAAGAUGGAAACGAGGAGUAGGGGAAAGCAGAGAAGGAAAGGCAGGAGACACUACAGAUAAAGCUUGCUAAUUUCACCAUCUUGUUCAGGGCCAGCUCUGAUUUUGACCUCCAGAUGCUUCCUAUUUUUUAUGGCUCCUAAUCAAAGUUGGUGGUGAUGUAAGGACCUGGACUAAAACCAGGCUUUCAGAUUCUGGGUGGAGUUUACAGUAAAGAUAUGAGUAAUACCUGACACUUACAUGCGGGUCUCCAUCCCCCAGACAGUAUGAAUCCCCCCAAAAUCCCAUGUGCCACAUCUAGGGUGGGAUAGAGAUGAGCUUAGGGUCAAGGACAGAGGUAUAGGAUUUUCGAGCAAGAAUGAAAAAUGCACUUUGGUUAAAUAAAACUUACCAUGGUCCUUUGAAAUGAUGUCCUGCCACUUUCAAAGCAUUGACACAUAAAUGACUUAACUUUAUUUUUAAAACGACCCUGUCAGGAAGGAAGGCAAAUAUUGGUUCCUGAGGGACUUGUUUAAAAAUGCAACAUUUCUGAGCUUCAGCCUGGACAUUCUCAUACAGUGGAUUUGGGGAAUGGCCUUGGAAUCUGAAUUUUAACAGUGUGUACGGUAAGGGUGGGCUAGUCUUUAAGAAAUGCAGACUACUUCAUAAUAGAGCUGGUGGGUUACCCAGAAUGCUGGAUUUGAUCUUUUAGAGGGUCGGAACUUUGUUCCAUCCAUAUCGGCAUCUCUUCCAGUGCCUAGUACAAUGCUUCGCUCGUAUCAUGUUCUUAACAGAUGUUGGCAGAAGGUCAGAGAAAUAUUCAUAGAAGAAGUGGCAUCUGAGCAGGACAGUUUUAAAUAAUCAGGACUAGGAGACUAGGUUUUGGGUAGAAGAUCUUCCAGAAGGGAGAAAUAUCAAAAGCAAGGGCAUGGAUAUGGGGUUUUCCAGGGAUUGCACAGAAGUCCUAUUAUUUGAUCAUAGAGUAUGUAUCAGGAAGAAUUGGGAGAUACAAUUACAAAAAUGUGGCAAAAUCAUGUGGUAGAGAACCUUGACUUUAGGGAUCUGGAUAAUUCCAAAGUAAUGGGGAGAUGUUGAAAUCCAUGUCUACAUAUGUUUGGGAUACAAGGUAGGCUAACGCCAUAUCAGAUGGGAUUUGUUUCCACUGCUAAACUACCUUCUUACUAGAACAAAGCAAUUUGGGAGGGUUUCUUUUUCUUUUUUUUUUAAGAUUUUAUUUAUUUACUUGAUGGAGAGAG